AAGGAGAAUUACCUACUGUUUAAUUUUGAGGGUUCGUUUUUACGAAUGCUCAAAAUUAGCACUUUAAGCAACGGGAUUUAUCCGUUGGCGCUGUGCGUUAGCACUUUAAGCAACGGAAUUUAUUCGUUGGCGCUGUGCAUUAGCACUUUGAAAACUGCAUAUAUAUAUUUAGUGAUAUGACAUCUAAUUUGUAAUAUAUAAAGCUGAUAACUUUUUAAAAUUAUCGAAGUUGAUAGCUUCUAAUCUAUCAAACCUUUUUAAC
rnacentral:misc_RNA from 1 species